rnacentral:rRNA from 1 species
GAUGAACGCUGGCGGCGUGCCUAAUACAUGCAAGUCGAGCGAACAGACGAGGAGCUUGCUCCUUUGACGUUAGCGGCGGACGGGUGAGUAACACGUGGAUAACCUACCUAUAAGACUGGGAUAACUUCGGGAAACCGGAGCUAAUACCGGAUAAUAUAUUGAACCGCAUGGUUCAAUAGUGAAAGACGGUUUUGCUGUCACUUCUAGAUGGAUCCGCGCCGUAUUAGCUAGUUGGUAAGGUAACGGCUUACCAAGGCUACGAUGCGUAGCCGACCUGAGAGGGGGAUCGGCCACACUGGAACGGAGACACGGUCCAGACUCCUACGGGAGGCAGCAGUAGGGAAUCUUACGCAAUGGGCGAAAGCAUGACGGAGCAACGCCGCGUGAGUGAUGAAGGCCUUCGGAUCGUAAAACUCUGUUAUUAGGGAAGAACAAAUGUGUAAGGAACUGUGCACGUCUUGACGGUACCUAAUCAGAAAGCCACGGUUAACUACGUG